AUUGAACGCUGGCGGCAGGCCUAACACAUGCAAGUCGAACGGUAACAGGAAGAAGCUUGCUUCUUUGCUGACGAGUGGCGGACGGGUGAGUAAUGUCUGGGAAACUGCCUGAUGGAGGGGGAUAACUACUGGAAACGGUAGCUAAUACCGCAUAACGUCGCAAGACCAAAGAGGGGGACCUUCGGGCCUCUUGCCAUCGGAUGUGCCCAGAUGGGAUUAGCUUGUUGGUGGGGUAACGGCUCACCAAGGCGACGAUCCCUAGCUGGUCUGAGAGGAUGACCAGCCACACUGGAACUGAGACACGGUCCAGACUCCUACGGGAGGCAGCAGUGGGGAAUAUUGCACAAUGGGCGCAAGCCUGAUGCAGCCAUGCCGCGUGUAUGAAGAAGGCCUUCGGGUUGUAGAGUACUUUCAGCGGGGAGGAAGGGAGUAAAGUUAAUACCUUUGCUCAUUGACGUUACCCGCAGAAGAAGCACCGGCUAACUCCGUG
rnacentral:rRNA from 1 species